rnacentral:misc_RNA from 1 species
GGAAAAGGGUCGAUGUGGGACUCUUCACAGUAUCUGCUUUGGCUCGAUGCAACAAGAUGAGUGGUCUUGAAGUGAAGGAGAAUUAUACAUAAUUGUUCAGUAUCAACAUAUUUCCUACUUCUAACUGUCCUUCUAACCGCGCUAAGAUAAUAAGUUUGGUACAAUUAACAAGAAAAAUGAAAAAAAGAAAAAAGGAACAAAACAUAAAAUGAGAAAUAGA